rnacentral:rRNA from 1 species
GACGAACGCUGGCGGCGUGCUUAACACAUGCAAGUCGAACGGAAAGGCCCUGCUUUUGUGGGGGGCUCGAGUGGCGAACGGGUGAGUAACACGUGAGUAACCUGCCCUUGACUGUGGGAUAACUUCAGGAAACUGGGGAUAAUACCGGAUAGGAGCUCCUGCAGCAUGGUGGGGGUUGGAAAGUUUCGGCGGUUGGGGGUGGACUCGCGGCUUAUCAGCUUGUUGGUGGGGUAGUGGCUUACCAAGGCAUUGACGGGUAGCCGGCCUGAGAGGGUGACCGGCCACAUUGGGACUGAGAUACGGCCCAGACUCCUACGGGAGGCAGCAGUGGGGAAUAUUGCACAAUGGGCGGAAGCCUGAUGCAGCAACGCCGCGUGCGGGAUGACGGCCUUCGGGUUGUAAACCGCUUUCGCCUGAUACGAAGCGUGAGUGACGGUAAUGGGUAAAGAAGCACCGGCUAACUACGUG